rnacentral:misc_RNA from 1 species
GGGUGGAUGCCCAACAGAUAAAUACUGACAUAGAAAAGCAUAUUUGUAAGCAUUUCCCAUAAACUGAUACUAUCAAUGUGAGACUGUCAAUAAACAAAAUUUACAUAAGAUAAUAUAUUGAACUAUUAUCUUGCUUUAUCUAAGCAUUUCUUUAAUAAGGAAAGUCACGAACUUCAUGUCAAAGCUCAUCUUAAUAGUAAGGGAAAUGAAAUUGCAGUGGAGGAACAACACGCAAAUUAACAUUAACCAAAAGCGAAAAAGAAAUUUCAUUUCCUUUUUGUGUUGCUUCAUAAGCUAGCUUUUGCUUUUUAUGUAUCAUAUUAGGGGCUUAUUUGGUUUGACAAUAGAAUUCAAUGGUUAAAACCUGGCAGCUAAUGGCUACACACUCUAUUUUUGAACAUACUAUUAUAAUUUUGAAUGUCUAAUUGCCAGGUUUUACCAAAAACACUAAAGCCCUGUUUGGCAUUGAGU